rnacentral:rRNA from 1 species
CGAAAGCCUGACGGAGCAAGACCGCGUGGGGGAGGAAUGCCUUAGGGUUGUAAACCCCUUUUAUCUGGGAAGAACAAAAUGACGGUACCAAAGGAAUCAGCCUCGGCUAACUCCGUGCCAGCAGCCGCGGUAAUACGGAGGAGGCAAGCGUUAUCCGGAAUUAGUGGGCGUAAAGCGUCCGCAGGUGGCGAUUCAAGUCUGCUGUCAAAGCACGGGGCUUAACUCCGUAAAGGCAGUGGAAACUGAAUAGCUAGAGUGCCGUAGGGGUAGAGGGAAUUCCCGGUGUAGCGGUGAAAUGCGUAGAGAUCGGGAAGAACAUCGGUGGCGAAAGCGCUUUGCUAGACCGAAACUGACACUCAGGGACGAAAGCUAGGGGAGCG